GUCUUUUUGUAUAUAAUUUAAAGUUUAACCUGCUCAAUGAAAUUUAAAUAGCUGCGGUAAUUUGACCGUACAAAGGUAGCAUAAUCAAUAGUUUCUUAAUUAGAAACUGGAAUGAAAGGUUGGAUAAGAAAAUUUCUGUCUCAAUUUAAAUUUAUUAGAAAUUUAUUUUUAAGUUAAAAAGCUUAAAUAUAAUUUAAUGACGAGAAGACCCUAUAGAGUUUAAUUAAUUAAUUAUUUUAAUUUAAUAGAAUUUAUUUAUUAAUUUAAUCAAAAUUAAUUUGAUUGGGGUGAUUGAAAAAUUUAAUAAACUUUUUUUAAUUUUUUUCAAAAAUAUUUGUUUAAUUGAUCCAUUUUAAUGAUUACAAGAAAAAAUUACCUUAGGGAUAACAGCGUAAUUUUUUUUGAGAGUUCAUAUCGAAAAGAAAGAUUGCGACCUCGAUGUUGGAUUAAAAUUUAAUUUUGGUGUAGAAGCUAAAAAUUUAGGUCUGUUCGACCUUUAAAAUUUUACA
rnacentral:rRNA from 1 species